UCGUGUGCGUGUCAAUUUAUUUCCACAGUUCCUCUUUCUGGGAAGGAUUCUCUCGAUCGAUUCUUCCAAAAUUUGCAAAACUGGAAAAAAAAUCCGAUUGCAAUCUUAGAUUAGUUGAUUCCGCGUAAAAACCGAUGUGAUUGUUUGGGCUCCUCUCACUCGUCAUCGUUGAGAUGAUAUAUUAUCGCUUGGAGGAGGAAACCCACCGGCCUUUUAGUUGCUGCUUUACAUACCUGGAAGCUUACUCCGCAUGAAACCAUCGUCACCAAGGUAUGUGCUUCAGAAGGUGUUCAAAACCAAAUUGUUCAAGAUUUUGAGGAGAUUUCAAGUGUAGCGGACUUUUGUGACAGGUAUGUGCUUUUCAAACUUGCUUGUAAUUAGUUUCUGAAAUUCAAACAUAUGUGAAAUCAAGAUUAAUUUCAUUUCCACUAGACACGUGCUUGAAUAAGCAUCCAAAAUCUUAACAUAUUUAUGUCUUAGCCUUUAUACUUAUGUGAGAGCUUGAAGUAUAUAUGCCAAUAUUGAUUUUCUCAGGUAUGUGCUUCUCUUAUGGAUUCCCAAAAAAGAUUUUUCUAAUGUUUACAAUUCUUUGGUGAAGUAUGGAUUUAUCACCCUCUUUAUAUUGUAUAACUUUGGAUUUGAAUCAAAGUUUCAGAGUAACCACAUCUCUGUUUCAUGAAGAAAACACUGGUCACUUGAAAUUCUGCAGGUCUAUUUUCUUCUGCAUCAACCGAUUUCAAAUCCUAAUGUGGUGUAUCUCAAACCUCCAUACAUGGGUUCUGCGCAAUCACUUAAAAAUACAAAACAUACAUACAUAAAUACAUACAUGCAUUCAUAUAUACCUACUUUCAUACUGUAUACAUGCAUAAUUUCUUCCAUACGUCAUUGUUUAUUUGCUUU